UCGAAACCUUAUGGUUCCUUUGAUCUUGAGAAACCAACAUGCUUGAUACUUUACGACUUUGUUCGUGGAGAGUUGGGAGUAUCAGCCCACCAUUUGAGUCCGUUUGGAGGUGUCUAAGUACAGCAUGAGCCGUUUACGGCCGGCGUCAGUGAUUGUUGUACAAAGUUCGCGCAUUCAGUUGCGCUGAGCUAAGCUGAGACUUGAUGAGCACUGCGUGAGUGCCGCCUCUAUGUUUGUACUGGUGGUUAAGCAUUAGGCUGCCAGCCUUCUGCAACACCUGCUGGUCAGGAAAUCUUAAUGACUCGUUCCGCGAGCGCCAGUAUAGACGACAACAUUUUACAUUUAACGUUUGAAGAAGCGUGGCUUUAUGUCACAAUCGACUAGCUUCAGCGAUGGAUCGGUCGAUUCGCGUAUCGAUGAAAAACGCAGCUAGCUGCGUUAUUUACCACGAAUUGCAGACGCUUAGAGUGGUGAAAUUUUGAACGCAUAGCGCCGUUGGGUUUUCCCUUCGGCACGUCUGGUUCAGGGUUGUUUUCAAUAUACUACAGUGUGGCCUGUAUAACACUGUUUGUCGAAUGACGCUUGUGCAUUCUGUGCGCAAUCCUCGUUCUAGAUGAGAAUAUACUGCAACAUGUACUGCUUGGUACGCGAUUGUCAUGAGCGUGUUGUCACUGUCAAAUGUAUUAAGCGAGAAAUGAAUACUUUGGGCAGGGCUUGUUUGAGACAACAACGCGACUAUGUCAUUUGCAA
rnacentral:rRNA from 1 species